AAAAAAAUUGGUAGUAAAUAAUGUUUUGAUGCAAAUAAAGAAUUACAAACCCUUAAUAGAUUAAUGUUUAAUAUUCACAAAGCAAAACAUUCUGUUGAUAGUUGCUCGUCUUUUUCAUCAUUACGCCAACAGAAUUUACGACCUUUUUCCUUUUCGCUUUGGAUUCCAUCAACAAGUCAAGUGUCCUCUUCAUAUUUUAUGUUAAGAGUCCUGACUUUUGUCUAUAAACAUCACCAAUAUUGUCUUACAACUCAUUUUUACAGCUACCUCUUUAAAAAAAUCAGUUUGUAUCACAGCAACUGAGAACAAAUGGCUGAAGGCAUUCUAUUUAGUUUUGUGGGCGAAAUCUUGGAAGGGUUGGGAUCCUUGCUUCUCCAAGAAGGCAAAUUGCCAUGGGGUGUUAAGGAUGAGAUUCAAAAACUCAUCAAGACUGUCAACACUAUCAAAUCAACACUUCUUGAUGCUGAGGAGCAGCACAACAAAAUGAACCAACAGGUAACCGAUUGGAUCCACAGGCUUAAAGAUGCUUUUUAUGAUGCAGAUGACUUGUUAGAUGGUUUCUCUACUGAACUUCGACGGCGAGAGGUGAUGACUGGAAACAAAUUGGCAUAUGAGGUACAAAUCUUUUUCUCCAAAUAUAAUCAAAUUGCAUAUAGUCUUAGAAUGGCUCAUAAGAUUAAGACUAUCAGGGAGAAACUCGAUGAGAUUAAAAAUGAUAAGCAGUUCCACUUUUCUGAGCACCUUGUUGAAAAAGGAGUCAUAAGUAUAGAAAGGGAAACUCAUUCUUUCAUAUGUGUAGAAAAGGUAAUUGGAAGAGAAAAUGAUAAAGGUAAAGUUAUAAGACUUGUAUUGGACUCAAAUGAUUCUGUGAAUGUUUCAGUUGUUACCAUAGUUGGACUAGGAGGAGUAGGAAAAACCACACUUGCUCAGCUUGUUUAUAAUGAUGAGAAUGUUAUAAACUAUUUUCAGUUAAGGAUGUGGGUGUGUGUCUCUGAGGAUUUUACUGUAAAGACAAUUGUCGAAAAGAUAAUAAAAUCUGCAACUCGUAAAGAACUUGAAAAUUUUCAUUUGAACGAAUUGCAAGAAUUCCUUAGAAAAGAAAUUGAUGGGAAAAGAUAUCUACUGGUUUUGGAUGAUGUAUGGAAUGAAAAGCAGAAUAAAUGGGAUGAAUUGACUGAUCUAUUAAUGAAUGGUUCAAAAGGAAGCAAGAUACUAGUUACUACACGUGGUAAAGUAGUUGCUAAGGUUACUAGCAAACUUGAAUCUUAUGUCUAUACCUCGACAGGACUUGAUGAAAAAAAGUCUUGGUCUUUGUUUACCCAAAAAGCCUUUCAACAUAGGGUGGAACCAAAAGAUUCAAAAUUAAUAGAGAUAGGAAAAGGGAUUGUGGCAAAGUGUGGUGGAGUUCCUCUUGUCAUAAUGACAAUAGCACAAUUACUGUCUGGUAAUAAUAAAGAGGAUGAUUGGCUGAAUUUUAAGGAAAAUGAAAUGUCAAAGGUGAUUAAAGAAGAAAGUGAUAUUUUACCAUUGCUCAAGCUCAGCUAUGAUCAUCUCCCUUCAAACUUGAAACAAUGUUUUGCUUAUUGUGCAUUGUUUCCAAAGGAUUAUAAGAUUAAGAAGCAAAAAUUGAUUCAUCUUUGGAUGGCGCAAGGGUUUAUUCAAAUGUCAAAAAGAGAGUGUCCAGAAGAUGUUGGUGAUAAAUAUUUUUUGACUCUACUUUCAGGAUCAUUUUUCCAAGAUCCAGAAUAUGAUAGAUGGGGCAAUGUAGUCGCUUGUAAGAUGCACGAUCUUAUGCAUGACCUUGCACAAUUCGUUGCAGGAACUGAAUGCACCAUGCAAACAUUUGAAAAGGUUGAAAAUGUGAAUGUAAGAUGUCGCCAUUUAUCUCUAGAUUGUGGUGAAGUAAAAGCAUCAUGGAAAUUUCCAGCUGUGUUAUAUAGUGGAAAUAAUAUAAGAACUUUGCUUUUAUUUUGUAGAUUAAAUUGGGGUUUCAACUUGGAUCACGGUGACGAAAUUUUAACUAGUUAUGCAUACUUACGAGUGUUGGAUUUUGGAGGGUUAAAAUUUCAUAAACUGCUGAGUUCAAAUGGGGAACUUUUGAGUUUAAUUGGUGAAUUGAAGCAUUUGCGAUAUCUCGAUUUUUCUGGUGUAGAUAUUAAAAUACUUCCUGAUUCAUUGUCAAGACUAGUAAAUCUGGAAACAUUAGAUCUGUCUUACUGUAGUGAGCUUAUGGAACUGCCAAGAGAAAUUAAAAAAAUGGUGAACCUUAGACAUCUUAUAAACAAAAAGUGUGAUUCUUUAACUGGAAUGCCAUAUAGACUGGGGCAUUUAACUAAUCUUCAGACUUUACCACUAUUUAUGGUAAGCGACCAGUCCAAAAGAAAAACUAAUCAUAGUGGAACAGAGGAAUUACAUGGGCUGAACAACUUGAGAGGAAAACUCAAGAUUAAAAACUUAAAAUUUGAGGCAAGUAGAAAGUCAGCCAACUUAGAAGGGAAGCAAUUUCUUUGGUCUCUGACAUUGGAUUGGGGAAGAAGUGAUGAUGGAGAGGUUCAAGGAAAUGAAGUAGAGGUGUUAGAAGGUCUAAAGCCACACCCAAAUCUUAAGAAAAUCAGUGUGAGAUCAUUCAUGGGUAUUAAACUCUGUGAUUGGCUUUUGUCUCUUACAAAGUUAACUUCAAUUAGUAUUAAAAAAUGUAGAAGAUGCAAACAUAUCCCACCAUUGGAUAAAUUGCCAUGUUUGAAGACUCUGUGUCUUAGCCAUCUAGAUGAUCUGGAGUAUAUUUCAGAUGAAGCAAAUAAGAGUUGGUCCACAAUGCGAGCAACAUUCUUCCCAUCCCUAGAGCAAUUCACCCUUUGCGAUUGUCCUGAAUUAAAGGGAUGGUGGAGGAAGCAUGAUUAUAAUGAUACAGAGUUGCCUUCAUUUCCUUGUCUUUCCAAAUUAGAUAUCCAAAACUGCCCCAAUUUGAUGUUCAUGCCACUGUAUCCAUCUUUGGUAGAAUUGAAAUUGCUCAGGACUAGCUCGAAACCACUGCAGCGGAUGAUGACGAUGACGUUGAAGAAUAAAGGGGAACCAUCAACUUCCUCUUGCUUUUCUGCCCCCCUCUCCAAUUUAAAGUCAAUGCUUAUGUUUGAAAUUCCUGAUCUAGAAUCUCUUCCAGUGGGUGCCUUGCAAAAUCUGACUGCUCUUGUGGAUUUGAAAAUUUUGUCAUGUCCAAAAAUUAGUCAACUGGAUCAAGCAUUAAAGUUUCUCCCAUCUUUACAAAAUUCGAAAAUUACAUCCUAUGAAGAACCUGAGCCGGAAUGGGAAGAUAUUCGUCUUAUGGGUCUUCGUUUCAUACCCGAUUUCGGUUGAAUCCAGGGGAGACUUCUUCUUAAACAGAUGCAAGAAUCAUCAACUAUCCGCUAAUAUUUAUAGGACCUAAAGGAUGUAAAAAACAUUGUCGACUGGAUAGCUUGGGCAGACCCUGUAUACAACUUCAAUCCUGUAUUAGACGAGCGGUGCAGAGAAGCUCCAAAAAAACUUGACUUCAAACUUGAAGAGGGUAUCUUUUUUCUUUUUUUCAUUUUCCAACAAAAAGUGGCUGUUUUGUGUUCCUGCAAAAUGUGAUACGUGCAUGAGUUUUGAUAAGAUAAUUAGGGAAUGUCCUUGCAUUUACAAUGCAUGGAUUAAUUUUUUUUGUUCAUGCAUGACUCACUGUUAUGUUUAAAUUUGUAGAGUGAAAAGUUUGGAAUAUUUGUUUAUGCUUUUAUUAUCAUAAGUUAUGACAAAAAUUUUAGAGAAUAUCUAAUGAAGCAGAAAACUUUUGUCCCAAAGAAAUUCUUUUAACAAAUAACACUGCCAACUGAAUCUGUCCUCAUGCUGGAGUAUAUGGAUGGGAUACGUUUAAAUGACUCUGAAUCUCUGGAAGCUUCUGGUGUUGACAAGCGGAAAAUUGUGGAAGAAAUUACACGUGCAUAUGCCCACCAAAUUUUUGUUGAUGGAUUUUUCAAUGGCGAUCCUCAUCCUGGGAGACCAUGUAGCUCUUUUGUCUGCCAUGGCAGAAAUGGGACUUAAGCUGCGUCUAGACAUGCCUGAGCAAGCUAUGGAGGUCACAACUCUAUUCUUCCGUGAGUCCACGCCAGCAGAUGAAUCUCAU